GACGGAGGGUGCAAGCGUUGCUCGGAAUCAUUGGGCGUAAAGGGUGCGUAGGCGGCUUCUUAAGUCUGACGUGAAAGCCCAGGGCUUAGCCUUGGAAGUGCGUUAGAAACUGAGAAGCUUGAGUGCCGGAGGGGAGAGUGGAAUUCCUGGUGUAGCGGUGAAAUGCGUAGAUAUCAGGAGGAAUACCGGUGGCGAAAGCGACUCUCUGGACGGCAACUGACGCUGAGGCACGAAAGCGUGGGUAGCAAACAGG
rnacentral:rRNA from 1 species